GCCCGGGUGGUGAAACGGUAGACACAGCGGACUUAAAAUCCGCAGCUCGCGAGGGCGUGUGGGUUCGACUCCCACCCCGGGCACCA
rnacentral:tRNA from 1 species